UGGGGGAUAUUGCACAAUGGGCGAAAGCCUGAUGCAGCGACGCCGCGUGGGGGAUGAAGGCUUUCGGGUUGUAAACCUCUUUCGCUAUCGAACAAGGCCCGCUUAGGGUGGGUUGAGGGUAGGUGGAGAAGAAGCGCCGGCUAACUACGUGCCAGCAGCCGCGGUAAUACGUAGGGCGCGAGCGUUGUCCGGAAUUAUUGGGCGUAAAGGGCUUGUAGGCGGCUUGUUGCGCCUGCUGUGAAAACGCGGGGCUUAACUUUGCGCGUGCAGUGGGUACGGGCAGGCUUGAGUGUGGUAGGGGUGACUGGAAUUCCAGGUGUAGCGGUGGAAUGCGCAGAUAUCUGGAGGAACACCGAUGGCGAAGGCAGGUCACUGGGCCAUUACUGACGCUGAGGAGCGAAAGCAUGGGUAGCGAACAGG
rnacentral:rRNA from 1 species